GGCUGGUCCGAAGGUAGUGAGUUAAUCUUACUUGACUGUUCACAGUCAGUUACAGAUUGAACUCCUUGUUCUACUCUUGCCCUCCUUCUCACUACUGCACUUGACUAGCCUUCA
ensembl:misc_RNA Y_RNA Y RNA